GAAGUUGUAGUUUUAUUGCCUAAACCUAAAGAAACUGUAGUUUUGUUGCCUAAACAUAAAGAAGUUGUAGUUUUAUUGUCUAAACUUAAAGAAGCCUUUUUGUUUGUGUUCCAAACUUGACGUGGCCCCUGUGGAUCCACAUCUAUGGUGCUUAUAGCGACUGAUAACGUCUAUUUAAUGGCCUGAUAACUGUCAAAUCGGUAUUUUUGUAGCUUCCUCUUGGAUGCAUGCUUACGAUCUGGCACCUGGUUGCUACGUUUUUCUAGAGGUUGACUUACAGAAACUUCCUGAACACAGCAAAAUAAGAAAAUACAGGCAGAGGGCAGGGACUCUGCAGAUACAGAAACGCAGUUAAAACAACCAGAGGGCUAAUAGAAAAAUGGCCAAGUGUCAGGGAGAAGAAAACACUGAAUUUGUCAAAAAAAGAAGCCUAUAAAGUAUGAAUGAUUGUUAAAAAUU